rnacentral:rRNA from 1 species
GCGACCGGCAGAAGGGUGCGUAACACGUGAGCAACUGCCCGUGACAGGGGAUACCGAUGAAACGUCGCUAACACCCCGUACACUGAGGGCAUCCUUUGAGUUGAAAAUUCCGAUGGUCACGGAUGGGCUCGCGGGACAUUAGCUAGUUGGCGGGGUAACGGCCCACCAAGGCGACGAUGUCUAGGGGUUCUGAGAGGAAGGUCCCCACACUGGAACUGAGACACGGUCCAGACUCCUACGGGAGGCAGCAGUGAGGAAUAUUGGACAAUGGAGGCAACUCUGAUCCAGCCAUGCCGCGUGAAGGAUGAAGGCCCUAUGGGUCGUAAACUUCUUUUGUCGUAGAGCAAUAAGGUGUACGCGUACAUCGAUGAGAGUAUACGACGAAUAAGCAUCGGCUAACUCCGUGCCAGCAGCCGCGGUAAUACGGAGGAUGCAAGCGUUAUCCGGAUUUAUUGGGUUUAAAGGGUGCGUAGGCGGACGUAUAAGUCAGCGGUGAAAGGUACCGGCUCAACCGGUGAGCUGCCGUUGAAACUGUGCGACUGGAAUGCGGAUGCCGUGGGAGGAAUGUGUGGUGUAGCGGUGAAAUGCUUAGAUAUCACACAGAACACCGAUUGCGAAGGCAUCUCACGAAUCCGUUAUUGACGCUGAGGCACGAAGGCGUGGGGAUCAAACAGGAUUAGAUACCCUGGUAGUCCACGCGGUAAACGAUGAUGGCUAACUGCCGGCGAUACAGUGUCGGUGGCCAAGCGAAAGCGAUAAGCCAUCCACCUGGGGAGUACGACCGCAAGGUUGAAACUCAAAGGAAUUGACGGGGGCCCGCACAAGCGGAGGAACAUGUGGUUUAAUUCGAUGAUACGCGAGGAACCUUACCCGGGCUCGAACGGCUGAGGAAUGAAUUAGAGAUA